GGGGGGCAGCAGCAAUCAUAUGAGAGUACCUGUUCCCUCCAGUAGUCAUUCCCCAUUGUUAGGACUGUGGGGCUCCUUUUCCAGGAAGCCACACAGCCAUCUGUACCUUGAACACGUAGGGGAGUCUCAGGGUGCAUUAAAACAGCUCUGGGCUCCUUGGCCCUGUUUGAUGGGUCAGUAGUGAGUGUCUGGCCAAAGCUUCCGGAUGCCCUGUCUACUGUCUAGGGGCUUCUGAAAAUUACCCUUCUUGCUGCCAUGGGGCCCCUCCAUUGCCGGAGAGGAGGAAAUUAUGUAAACAAGGCUCUCAGGUCCCCUCCUCCUUUCUCUACUUGAAGCCCCCUUACCAACUGAACGUUCAGGACAGUUUCAGAAUAACUUCAGAGAGAAAUGUGUUUCUGACUACCUGCAGGGAAAAGAAAAAUUGUUAACUUGGAGUUAGGGCCUCCAAGACUUGCAGGCUCCGUGGACUUCUCUUUGCAGAAGCCAAGUGGUUUGGACCAGGGAGGCAGGAAUUCAGGCGGCUGAGGAGAUACUGUGCAGGCCCGAGGGCCACUUUUCUCUCCCUCCUACCUAAUUAAGCUCAAAAGAAAGAAGAAAACCACCCGAUUGCUCAUGUCCUCCCUGCUCAGCCAAGACGUGAUUGUCCUUGGGCUCUGUCAUCUCAGCGGGAGGACACUUUCUCUCUGGUCUUGCAGCUGAGGAGGCAUGUGAGAGGGAACUUGCUGAGGGAGUGGAGCCUCCCUGUGCAGUGAGCUGAUACAAGAGGUAACUGGUUUGGUGGCCAGGAGGCUAGUCUGAAGACCAGAGAGGGACAAGUCUGGCCCGAGGAUCACACAGCCAAAUUAAAGCAGAUUUCUAAUUGUAAAUCCUCAUCAUCGUUCUUAGUUCAUGAGGACAAUGUUGGGGGUCUUCUUUCAGCUUUGUGUCACACUCAGAAGCCGGGAGGCUUGCCAGAGCAGGGGCUCCGGAGUGUCGUCGUUCACACAGCCAAGGCUCCUCCAGACUGAGCAUCCCUGCUCUCAGAGUCUCAGAAACACACGGUAUCAUCAUUUGAUUUCGGGUCCCUGCCUGUCUCCACCAGGAGACACCGUGUGCAGUUUGUCUCCCCUACUGCCUCCCUGAUACUAAGGAGCCAACCUAGGAUCCGGCCCUUGCCAGGCAAGCGCUCUAUCGCUGGACUCCUC